rnacentral:rRNA from 1 species
AGCGUACACGGUGGAUGCCCUGGCAGUCAGAGGCGAUGAAGGACGUGCUAAUCUGCGAUAAGCGUCGGUAAGGUGAUAUGAACCGUUAUAACCGGCGAUUUCCGAAUGGGGAAACCCAGUGUGAUUCGUCACACUAUCAUUAACUGAAUCCAUAGGUUAAUGAGGCGAACCGGGGGAACUGAAACAUCUAAGUACCCCGAGGAAAAGAAAUCAACCGAGAUUCCCCCAGUAGCGGCGAGCGAACGGGGAGCAGCCCAGAGCCUGAAUCAGUGUGUGUGUUAGUGGAAGCGUCUGGAAAGGCGCGCGAUACAGGGUGACAGCCCCGUACACAAAAAUGCACAUGCUGUGAGCUCGAUGAGUAGGGCGGGACACGUGGUAUCCUGUCUGAAUAUGGGGGGACCAUCCUCCAAGGCUAAAUACUCCUGACUGACCGAUAGUGAACCAGUACCGUGAGGGAAAGGCGAAAAGAACCCCGGCGAGGGGAGUGAAAAAGAACCUGAAACCGUGUACGUACAAGCAGUGGGAGCACGCUUAGGCGUGUGACUGCGUACCUUUUGUAUAAUGGGUCAGCGACUUAUAUUCUGUAGCAAGGUUAACCGAAUAGGGGAGCCGAAGGGAAACCGAGUCUUAACUGGGCGUUAAGUUGCAGGGUAUAGACCCGAAACCCGGUGAUCUAGCCAUGGGCAGGUUGAAGGUUGGGUAACACUAACUGGAGGACCGAACCGACUAAUGUUGAAAAAUUAGCGGAUGACUUGUGGCUGGGGGUGAAAGGCCAAUCAAACCGGGAGAUAGCUGGUUCUCCCCGAAAGCUAUUUAGGUAGCGCCUCGUGAAUUCAUCUCCGGGGGUAGAGCACUGUUUCGGCAAGGGGGUCAUCCCGACUUACCAACCCGAUGCAAACUGCGAAUACCGGAGAAUGUUAUCACGGGAGACACACGGCGGGUGCUAACGUCCGUCGUGAAGAGGGAAACAACCCAGACCGCCAGCUAAGGUCCCAAAGUCAUGGUUAAGUGGGAAACGAUGUGGGAAGGCCCAGACAGCCAGGAUGUUGGCUUAGAAGCAGCCAUCAUUUAAAGAAAGCGUAAUAGCUCACUGGUCGAGUCGGCCUGCGCGGAAGAUGUAACGGGGCUAAACCAUGCACCGAAGCUGCGGCAGCGACGCUUAUGCGUUGUUGGGUAGGGGAGCGUUCUGUAAGCCUGCGAAGGUGUGCUGUGAGGCAUGCUGGAGGUAUCAGAAGUGCGAAUGCUGACAUAAGUAACGAUAAAGCGGGUGAAAAGCCCGCUCGCCGGAAGACCAAGGGUUCCUGUCCAACGUUAAUCGGGGCAGGGUGAGUCGACCCCUAAGGCGAGGCCGAAAGGCGUAGUCGAUGGGAAACAGGUUAAUAUUCCUGUACUUGGUGUUACUGCGAAGGGGGGACGGAGAAGGCUAUGUUGGCCGGGCGACGGUUGUCCCGGUUUAAGCGUGUAGGCUGGUUUUCCAGGCAAAUCCGGAAAAUCAAGGCUGAGGCGUGAUGACGAGGCACUACGGUGCUGAAGCAACAAAUGCCCUGCUUCCAGGAAAAGCCUCUAAGCAUCAGGUAACAUCAAAUCGUACCCCAAACCGACACAGGUGGUCAGGUAGAGAAUACCAAGGCGCUUGAGAGAACUCGGGUGAAGGAACUAGGCAAAAUGGUGCCGUAACUUCGGGAGAAGGCACGCUGAUAUGUAGGUGAAGUCCCUCGCGGAUGGAGCUGAAAUCAGUCGAAGAUACCAGCUGGCUGCAACUGUUUAUUAAAAACACAGCACUGUGCAAACACGAAAGUGGACGUAUACGGUGUGACGCCUGCCCGGUGCCGGAAGGUUAAUUGAUGGGGUUAGCGCAAGCGAAGCUCUUGAUCGAAGCCCCGGUAAACGGCGGCCGUAACUAUAACGGUCCUAAGGUAGCGAAAUUCCUUGUCGGGUAAGUUCCGACCUGCACGAAUGGCGUAAUGAUGGCCAGGCUGUCUCCACCCGAGACUCAGUGAAAUUGAACUCGCUGUGAAGAUGCAGUGUACCCGCGGCAAGACGGAAAGACCCCGUGAACCUUUACUAUAGCUUGACACUGAACAUUGAGCCUUGAUGUGUAGGAUAGGUGGGAGGCUUUGAAGUGUGGACGCCAGUCUGCAUGGAGCCGACCUUGAAAUACCACCCUUUAAUGUUUGAUGUUCUAACGUUGACCCGUAAUCCGGGUUGCGGACAGUGUCUGGUGGGUAGUUUGACUGGGGCGGUCUCCUCCUAAAGAGUAACGGAGGAGCACGAAGGUUGGCUAAUCCUGGUCGGACAUCAGGAGGUUAGUGCAAUGGCAUAAGCCAGCUUGACUGCGAGCGUGACGGCGCGAGCAGGUGCGAAAGCAGGUCAUAGUGAUCCGGUGGUUCUGAAUGGAAGGGCCAUCGCUCAACGGAUAAAAGGUACUCCGGGGAUAACAGGCUGAUACCGCCCAAGAGUUCAUAUCGACGGCGGUGUUUGGCACCUCGAUGUCGGCUCAUCACAUCCUGGGGCUGAAGUAGGUCCCAAGGGUAUGGCUGUUCGCCAUUUAAAGUGGUACGCGAGCUGGGUUUAGAACGUCGUGAGACAGUUCGGUCCCUAUCUGCCGUGGGCGCUGGAGAACUGAGGGGGGCUGCUCCUAGUACGAGAGGACCGGAGUGGACGCAUCACUGGUGUUCGGGUUGUCAUGCCAAUGGCACUGCCCGGUAGCUAAAUGCGGAAGAGAUAAGUGCUGAAAGCAUCUAAGCACGAAACUUGCCCCGAGAUGAGUUCU